rnacentral:rRNA from 1 species
CCUACGGGGGGCAGCAGUCGGGAAUAUUGCGCAAUGGAGGAAACUCUGACGCAGUGACGCCGCGUGCAGGAAGAAGGUUUUCGGAUUGUAAACUGCUUUAGACAGGGAAGAAAAAAGACAGUACCUGUAGAAUAAGCUCCGGCUAACUACGUGCCAGCAGCCGCGGUAAUACGUAGGGGGCAAGCGUUAUCCGGAUUUCCGGGGUGUAAAGGGAGCGUAGACGGGGCUGCAAGUCCGGAGUGAAAGCCUAUGGCUUAACCAUGGUACUGCGCUGGAAACUGGGGAGCUUGAGUGCGGGAGGGGCAGGCGGAAUUCCUGGUGUAGCGGUGAAAUGCGUAGAUAUUAGGAGGAACACCGGCGGCGAAGGCGGCCUGCUGGACCGUAACUGACGUUGAGGCUCGAAAGCGUGGGGAGCAAACAGGAUUAGAUACCCCUGUAGUC